rnacentral:rRNA from 1 species
AGUGAACGCUGGCGGUAGGCCUAACACAUGCAAGUCGAACGGCAGCACAGUAAGAGCUUGCUCUUACGGGUGGCGAGUGGCGGACGGGUGAGGAAUACAUCGGAAUCUACUUUUUCGUGGGGGAUAACGUAGGGAAACUUACGCUAAAACCGCAUACGACCUACGGGUGAAAGCAGGGGAACUUCGGACCUUGCGCGAUUGAAUGAGCGGAUGUCGGAUUAGCUAGUUGGCGGGGUAAAGGCCCACCAAGGCGACGAUCGGUAGCUGGUCUGAGAGGAUGAUCAGCCACACUGGAACUGAGACACGGUCCAGACUCCUACGGGAGGCAGCAGUGGGGAAUAUUGGACAAUGGGCGCAAGCCUGAUCCAGCCAUACCGCGUGGGUGAAGAAGGCCUUCGGGUUGUAAAGCCGUUUUGUUGGGAAAGAAAAGCAGCAGGUUAAUACCCCGCUGUUCUGACGGUACCCAAAGAAUAAGCACCGGCUAACUUCGUG